rnacentral:rRNA from 1 species
CAGCCGCCGCGGUAAAACGGAGGGGGCUAGCGUUGUUCGGAAUUGCUGGGCGUAAAGCGCACGUAGGCGGCUUGGUAAGUUAGAGGUGAAAGCCCGGAGCUCAACUCCGGAAUUGCCUUUAAGACUGCAGAGCUAGCAGGUGAGAGAGGUGAGUGGAAUUCCGAGUGUAGAGGUGAAAUUCGUAGAUAUUCGGAAGAACACCAGUGGCGAAGGCAGCUAACUGGUCCAUAACUGACGCUGAGGUGCGAAAGCGUGGGGAGCAAACAGGAUUAGAUACCCGCGUAGUCCCUGUCUCUUAUAC